rnacentral:rRNA from 1 species
GACGAACGCUGGCGGCGCGCUUAACACAUGCAAGUCGAGCGAUAACCAUGGCUUCGGCCAUGGGGAGAGCGGCGAACGGGUGAGUAACACGUGAGCGAUCUGCCCUCGACACUGGGAUAGCCCGGGGAAACCCGGAUUAAUACCGGAUAGCCUCUCGGGUCUACGGGCCCGUGAGAAACGAUGGCUUCGGCUUCCGGUCGAGGAGGAGCUGGCGGCGGAUUAGCUGGUUGGUGAGGUAACGGGUCACCAAGGCGACGAUCCGUAGCUGGGCUGAGAGGACGAGCAGCCACACUGGGACUGAGACACGGCCCAGACUCCUACGGGAGGCAGCAGUGGGGAAUCUUGCGCAAUGGGCGAAAGCCUGACGCAGCGACGCCGCGUGAGGGAAGAAGGCCUUCGGGUUGUAAACCUCUUUCAGGAGGGACGAAGCUACUCGGGUUAAUAGCCCAGAGGGUGACGGUACCUCCAGAAGAAGCCCCGGCUAACUACGUGCCAGCAGCCGCGGUAACAC